CUUACACAUGCAAGUCGAUGGGUACGAUGGUGCUUGCACCAUGCGACGACCGGCGCACGGGUGAGUAACGCGUAUGCAACCUAACCUAUAACUAAAGAAAUAGCCGCGAGAGAAAUUUGUGAUCUAAUACUUUAGAAUUAUNCUGAGAGAGGCAUCUCUCACAGGAUUAAAUGCUCCGUGCGGUUAUAGAUGUGGCAUGCGUGCCAUUAGCUUGUUGGUUGAGGUAACGGCUCACCAAUGCUAUGAUGGCUAGGGGGUCUUAAAGGAUGAUCCCCCAAAAUGGUACUGAGACACGGACCAGACUCCUACGGGAGGCAGCAGUGAGGAAUAUUGGUCAAUGGGCGAAAGUCUGACCAGCCAUGCGCGUGCAGAUGGCGAUCCUAUGGAUUUGUAAACUGCUUUUGUACGGGAAGAAUAUUUUCUACGUGUAGGAAAUUUGACGGUACCGUUGCGAAUAAGCAUCGGCUAACUCCGUGCCAGCAGCCGCGGUAAUACGGAGGAUGCAAGUGUAAUCCGGAUUUAUUAGGUUUAAAGGGUACGCAGGCGGAAGAGUAAGUCAGUGGUGAAAUCCUACAGCUUAACUGUAGAACUGCCAUUGAUACUGUUCUUCUUGAGUGCAGUUGAGGCAGGCGGAAUGCGUAGUGUAGCGGUGAAAUGAUAGAUAUUGCGCAGAACUCCGAUUGCGAAGGC
rnacentral:rRNA from 1 species